rnacentral:rRNA from 1 species
UACGGAGGGUGCAAGCGUUAUCCGGAUUUACUGGGUUUAAAGGGUGUGUAGGCGGGCUUUUAAGUCAGUGGUGAAAUCUCCGGGCUCAACCUGGAAACUGCCAUUGAUACUAUUAGUCUUGAAUUUUGUUGAGGUAGGCGGAAUAAGUCAUGUAGCGGUGAAAUGCAUAGAUAUGACGUAGAACACCAAUUGCGAAGGCAGCUUGCUAAACAAGUAUUGACGCUGAGGCACGAAAGCGUGGGGAUCAAACAGG